rnacentral:rRNA from 1 species
GACGAACGCUGGCGGCGUGCUUAACACAUGCAAGUCGAACGGAAAGGCCCUGCUUUUGUGGGGUGCUCGAGUGGCGAACGGGUGAGUAACACGUGAGUAACCUGCCCUUGACUUUGGGAUAACUUCAGGAAACUGGGGCUAAUACCGGAUAGGAGCUCCUGCUGCAUGGUGGGGGUUGGAAAGUUUCGGCGGUUGGGGAUGGACUCGCGGCUAUCAGCUUGUUGGUGGGGUAGUGGCUUACCAAGGCUUUGACGGGUAGCCGGCCUGAGAGGGUGACCGGCCACAUUGGGACUGAGAUACGGCCCAGACUCCUACGGGAGGCAGCAGUGGGGAAUAUUGCACAAUGGGCGGAAGCCUGAUGCAGCAACGCCGCGUGCGGGAUGACGGCCUUCGGGUUGUAAACCGCUUUCGCCUGUGACGAAGCGUGAGUGACGGUAAUGGGUAAAGAAGCACCGGCUAACUACGUG